rnacentral:snRNA from 1 species
GUGCUUGCUUUGGCAGCACGUGUACUAAAAUUGGAAUGAUACAGAGAAGAUUAGCAUGGCCCCUGAGCAAGGAUGACAUGAAAAUCUGUGAAGCGUUCCAUACUUUU